UACGUAGGAUCCAAGCGUUGUCCGGAUUUACUGGGUGUAAAGGGUGCGCAGGUCGGACUUGUUAGUCAGAGGUGAAAUCUCACUGCUCAACAGUGAAACUGCCUUUGAUACUGCAGGUCUUGAAUCCAGAAGAGAGUUGUGGAAUUCCGAGUGUAGCAGUGAAAUGUGUGGAUAUUCGGAAGAACACCAGCGGCGAAGGCAGCAACUUGGUCUGGUAUUGACGCUCAGGCACGAAAGCAUGGGGAUCAAACAGGAGUUAGAUGAUCCC
rnacentral:rRNA from 1 species